UUAUAUUGAGAAUGUAGGAGGAAGCACGGAUAUACAGCGGCCUGGUUACAGGAUAUAUAUAUUAAAGUUAAGAACAGCUUAGUGCAACAGGAUAGAGAGGGCCAGAGGGAAGGUGAUUUCAUGUCGGUGUUGCACCAUUUGGCCAGACUGAAUGUUGUUAAAGAAAUAGCUCGGAAAAAUAAGAGAAAGGUAGUGUGUAGGAGGAAUCCGACCCUUUUUGGUGUUUUGAGAACUGAGAAGGAUAAAAAAGAACAAGAAGAAAAAAGAGGGAUCUAUAAAAUCCCGUUGGUGGAUAAUAACACGGAUGAAAGCCUAGCAUAUGUUGGGGUGACA
rnacentral:lncRNA from 1 species